rnacentral:lncRNA from 1 species
UAGCUGAACGUCACCGGAACAGUGACCCGCCGUGAAAAUCGUGCUCCUUCCUCUACUCUCCCUAUCCCUUUGUCAUCGUCGAUUGGAUAUUCACAUAUUACGGUGAAAUCGACAAUUUUUUUUUGUAUUCCGUGUGCGACGAUAUGGGUGUUUCUUUGUGUGAUGUGUGGGUAUGGUGUAUUUUGUGAAGAUGGGAUGGAAUUGUGAGGGGUCUGUGUAGG